AAAUAAUAUUCAUCAAGCUGAACAGCCUGCACAGAUCAUAGCUAUAGUAUAUCUUUGGAUAAAAAAGUCAAGGGCGGUAAGAUUGUUGAUACAACAAGUGGCCUACGAAUUUGAAAAGACCGUAAAUGAGCGUGUAAGAAUUCGUUUCAAUCAACAAACCGCGCAGAGGCAAUGCGUAAAAAUCAAUAGUCUGUUCGAUUGGAACGAAAAAGAAAGAAGAAACUUUCCAUGGUUGGGCAAGAUGAAUCAGCGAAGAAGAUCAAGCAAAGAAGAUUAGCAGAGAUUAGCAGAAGAGAAGUGACAAAAAAGAGAAGUCUCAGCGAAGGAUGUGCCGGUUUCGAUAGUGAACUCAUCAUCGCCAUCAUCGUCUUCGUUUUCGUCGUCGUCGUCACCUUGUCAUCAGCGAUCUCUCCUCAAAUAAUGGUACUGGUGAUGUCACUAGCGGUACGCAUUUAAGACGAUGUGCCGCUUUAUUUGUCUAUUAUGAGAAAUGAAAUAAUUCCCAAGAAACCCCUAAUUGAGAGUAUUGAAACGGUUCAACGAAAAAUAAUAGUCAUACCAAGCCAUUUAAUAAUCAGGACGCUGACUUGACCCGCAAAUUUUGUUGGAG